rnacentral:misc_RNA from 1 species
UACCGAGUUGUCGACAUGAGUUGUUGCUGGUCCUCAAACGGGGGCAUGUGCACGCUCUGUUCACACAUCCACUCACACCUGUGCACCCUGUGUAGUUCUAUGGUCUGGGGGACAACACUGUCUUCCUCCCGUAGUCCUGCGUUUUUACACCUACGCUGUAGUAGAAAAGUCUUAUGGAAUGUGUGCCGCGUUUAACGCAAUGUAAUACAACUUUCAGCAACGGAUCUCUUGGCUCUCGCAUCGAUGAAGAACGCAGCGAAAUGCGAUAAGUAAUGUGAAUUGCAGAAUUCAGUGAAUCAUCGAAUCUUUGAACGCACCUUGCGCCCCUUGGCUAUUCCGAGGAGCAUGCCUGUUUGAGUAUCAUUAAAUUCUCAAGGAGUUUGUUCUCUUUGGAUUUUGGAGUGUUUGCUGGCUUGAAUCUUGUUCAGCUCCUCUCAAAUGCAUUAGCUUGUGCUUCUGUGGAAUCAGGCUUUGGUUUGAUAGUAUCUAUGUCAUUGCCUUUGAAACAAAUGAGCUAGCUUCUAAUCAUUUUAUUUUUGACAUUUUG